AACGAACGCUGGCGGCAUGCCUAACACAUGCAAGUCGAGCGCGAAAGUGCCUUCGGGCGCGAGUAGAGCGGCGGACGGGUGCGUAACGCGUAGGAAUCUGCCUGGUAGUGGGGGAUAACUCGGGGAAACUCGAGCUAAUACCGCAUACGCCCCAUGGGGGAAAGCGGGGGGACCCUUCGGGCCUCGCGCUAUCAGAUGAGCCUGCGUCGGAUUAGCUAGUUGGUAGGGUAAUGGCCUACCAAGGCGACGAUCCGUAGCUGGUCUGAGAGGAUGAUCAGCCACACUGGGACUGAGACACGGCCCAGACUCCUACGGGAGGCAGCAGUGGGGAAUAUUGGACAAUGGGCGCAAGCCUGAUCCAGCCAUGCCGCGUGAGUGAUGAAGGCCUCGGGUUGUAAAGACGUCUUUCGUCACGCGACGAUGAUGACGGUAGCGUGAGAAGAAGA
rnacentral:rRNA from 1 species